rnacentral:rRNA from 1 species
AUGGAGGGGGAGUGCCCCGCCGCUCCGACGCGCCGCUGGGCGGAGAACGUGAUCGUGCUGUCCUCGGGGAGGCCGCCGCGGUCGGAGGAGGCGGCGGUGGUGGCGGGGCAGGGGCAGCACCAGCGCACGGAUGCGCCGCCGGAGAAGCUCUACUACAAGACCAGGCUCUGCGACAAGUACGAGGCCACCGGCCGCUGCGUGUACGAGGACGGUUGCACCUUCGCGCACGGCCGCGCCGAGCUGCGCCCGCCGGUCCCUCCCCACGCCCACGCCGUUUGGCGCAGGCCGCCCGACCAGGAGCACGGCGGCAGGAUCGUCUACGGCGGCGGCAAGGCGUGCCACAACUUCAGGGACAGGGGCCAUUUCGGGGACAAGCUCGCCUCCCCCCACGCCGCCGCGCCGGCACCACCUGGUCACCCGAUUCGCAUCACCGGGGACCAGAAGCUGCUGGCGGACGAGCGGAGGAGCGCCACGCCGCCCGCGAUGCCACCCGCAGCGCGGCGCUACGCUGCUCUGGGCCCCGCCAGGGCGUUUCCGCCGGUGCCUGCCCCGGCCACGCGUGAUCGUCUUCGCCAGAUGCCCGAGGAGGACGGUGGCAAAAAGCCCAACAGGCUGAUGCUCAUGAGCCUCCGGAAGACCAGCGGCAUCUACGGCGACUGGCCGGAGCAGUGCUGA